rnacentral:rRNA from 1 species
AUUGAACGCUGGCGGCAGGCUUAACACAUGCAAGUCGAACGAGUGGCGGACGGGUGAGUAAUGUCUGGGAAACUGACUGAUGGAGGGGGAUAACUACUGGAAACGGUAGCUAAUACCGCCUACCAUCGGAUGUGCCCAGAUGGGAUUCGCUAGUAGGUGGGGUAAAGGCUCACCUAGGCGACGAUCCCUAGCUGGUCUGAGAGGAUGACCGGCCACAUUGGAACUGAGAAACGGGCCAGACGCCUACGGGGGGCAGCAGUGGGGAAUAUUGCACAAUGGGCGCAAGCCGGAUGCAGCCAUGCCGGGUGUGUGAAGAAGUCCUUCGGGUUGUAAAGCACUUUCAGCGAGGAGGCGUUACCCGCAGAAGAAGCACCGGCUAACUCCGUGCCAGCAGCCGCGGUAAUAC